rnacentral:rRNA from 1 species
UAGUGAAUCUUCGGCAAUGGGGGGAACCCUGACCGAGCAACGCCGCGUGAGUGAAGAAGGUUUUCGGAUCGUAAAGCUCUGUUGUUAAGGAAGAACGAGUGUGAGAAUGGAAAGUUCAUGCUGUGACGGUACUUAACCAGAAAGGGACGGCUAACUACGUGCCAGCAGCCGCGGUAAUACGUAGGUCCCGAGCGUUGUCCGGAUUUAUUGGGCGUAAAGCGAGCGCAGGCGGUUAGAAAAGUCUGAAGUGAAAGGCAGUGGCUCAACCAUUGUAGGCUUUGGAAACUGUUUAUCUUGAGUGCAGUAGGGGAGAGUGGAAUUCCAUGUGUAGCGGUGAAAUGCGUAGAUAUAUGGAGGAACACCGGUAGCGAAAGCGGCUCUCUGGUCUGUAACUGACGCUGAGGCUCGAAAGCGUGGGGAGCGAACAGG